GACGAACGCUGGCAGCGUGCUUAACACAUGCAAGUCGAACGGUAAGGCCCUUCGGGGUACACGAGUGGCGAACGGGUGAGUAACACGUGGGUGAUCUGCCCUGCACUUUGGGAUAAGCCUGGGAAACUGGGUCUAAUACCGGAUAGGACUCCUGGCUUCAUGGUUGGGGGUGGAAAGCUUUUGCGGUGUGGGAUGGGCCCGCGGCCUAUCAGCUUGUUGGUGGGGUAAUGGCCUACCAAGGCGACGACGGGUAGCCGGCCUGAGAGGGUGACCGGUCACACUGGGACUGAGAUACGGCCCGGACUCCUACGGGAGGCAGCAGUGGGGAAUAUUGCACAAUGGGCGCAAGCCUGAUGCAGCGACGCCGCGUGAGGGAUGACGGCCUUCGGGUUGUAAACCUCUUUCAGCUAUGACGAAGCGCAAGUGACGGUAGUAGCAGAAGAAGGACCGGCCAACUACGUGCCAGCCGCCGCUGUAA
rnacentral:rRNA from 1 species